UCAUCUCCGGGGGUAGAGCACUGUUUCGGCUAGGGGGCCAUCCCGGCUUACCAACCCGAUGCAAACUGCGAAUACCGGAGAAUGUUAUCACGGGAGACACACGGCGGGUGCUAACGUCCGUCGUGAAGAGGGAAACAACCCAGACCGCCAGCUAAGGUCCCAAAGUCAUGGUUAAGUGGGAAACGAUGUGGGAAGGCCCAGACAGCCAGGAUGUUGGCUUAGAAGCAGCCAUCAUUUAAAGAAAGCGUAAUAGCUCACUGGUCGAGUCGGCCUGCGCGGAAGAUGUAACGGGGCUAAACCAUGCACCGAAGCUGCGGCAGCGAACGUAUCACCCAAGACAACUUUGCGGAGUUGACGAUUGACGGAGCGAAGCGACGUCAAAGCGUUCAUUAAAGUCGAGUUGGCUUAGGGAUACGUUCGUUGGGUAGGGGAGCGUUCUGUAAGCCUGUGAAGGUGGCCUGUGAGGGUUGCUGGAGGUAUCAGAAGUGCGAAUGCUGACAUAAGUAACGAUAAAGCGGGUGAAAAGCCCGCUCGCCGGAAGACCAA
rnacentral:rRNA from 1 species